AACGAACGCUGGCGGCGUGGAUAAGACAUGCAAGUCGAACGCUAAUUUCAGGGUAGCAAUAUUCUGAAGUUGGAGUGGCGCAAGGGUGCGUAACACGUGGGUAAUUUGCCGUGAAGCUCGGAAUAACUCGCUGAAAGGCGAGCUAAUGCCGGAUGUGAUGUUUGGGAGGCAUCUCCUAAACCUUAAAGCUGGGGACCGUAAGGCCUGGCACUUCACGAUAAGCCCGCGGCCAUCAGCUAGUUGGUGAGGUAACGGCUCACCAAGGCUAAGACGGGUAGCUGGUCUGAGAGGACGACCAGCCACACUGGAACUGAGACACGGUCCAGACACCUACGGGUGGCAGCAGUCGAGAAUUUUUCACAAUGGGCGAAAGCCUGAUGGAGCGACGCCGCGUGGGGGGAUGAAUGGCUUCGGCCCGUAAACCCCUGUCAUUUGCGAACAAACCUCGUAAUUUAAAAGAUGACGAGCUGAUUGUAGCG
rnacentral:rRNA from 1 species